rnacentral:rRNA from 1 species
UCCGUAGGUGGACGGUUAAGUCAGAGGUGAAAUCCUGCAGCUCAACUGUAGAAUUGCCUUUGAUACUGGUCGUCUUGAGUCGUUGUGAAGUGGUUGGAAUAUGUAGUGUAGCGGUGAAAUGCAUAGAUAUUACAUAGAACACCGAUUGCGAAGGCAGAUCACUAACAACGUACUGACACUGAUGGACGAAAGCGUGGGGAGCGAACAGGAUUAGAUACCCUGGUAGUCC